rnacentral:rRNA from 1 species
CCAGACUCCUACGGGAGGCAGCAGUGAGGAAUAUUGGUCAAUGGGCGCGAGCCUGAACCAGCCAAGUCGCGUGAGGGAGGACGGCCCUACGGGUUGUAAACCUCUUUUGCCGGGGAGCAACGGGCGUCACGUGUGGCGCCACUGAGAGUACCCGGAGAAAAAGCAUCGGCUAACUCCGUGCCAGCAGCCGCGGUAAUACGGAGGAUGCGAGCGUUAUCCGGAUUUAUUGGGUUUAAAGGGUGCGCAGGCGGAAUGUCAAGUCAGCGGUAAAAUUUCGGGGCUCAACCCCGUCGUGCCGUUGAAACUGGCGUUCUUGAGUGAGCGAGAAGUAUGCGGAAUGCGUGGUGUAGCGGUGAAAUGCAUAGAUAUCACGAAGAACCCCGAUUGCGAAGGCAGCCUGCCGCAGCGUUACUGACGCUGAAGCUCGAAAGCGCGGGUAUCGAACAGGAUUAGAUACCCGCGUAU